GUGUGCAUACAAACAGUCGGAGCCUCUUCAUGGGGUGACGGCGUACCUUUUGUAUAAUGGGUCAUCGACUUGGUCUAUCUAGCAAGCUUAAGCCGUUAGGUGUAGGCGCAGCGAAAGCGAGUCUGAAUAGGGCGAUCGAGUAUGCAGCAUUAGACCCGAAGGCAAGUGAUCUAGGUAUGGGCAGGGUGAAGGUGCAGUAACAUGCACUGGAGGCCCGAACCGUUGAGCGUUGAAAAGCUCUCGGAUGACCUGUGCCUAGGGGUGAAAGGCCAAUCAAACUUGCUGAUAGCUGGUUCUCCGCGAAAUCUAUUUAGGUAGAGCGUCAAUUGAAUACCCCGGGGGGUAGAGCACUGGAUGGGUAAUGGGGCCCC
rnacentral:rRNA from 14 species